GCGUUCUGUUAAAUCUUUCAAAACAAUGCAAUUGGGCCAAUGUCAAAGUGUAAACAGAGCCUGUCCUGCUCGUUCUUAAUGUAAACAUCAGCUUAUGCGAGCAAGAUAGACUCCUUGUUUACACUUCAUCAUCAGUCUAUUUACAUUGUUUUGCUUGAAAUUAUUUUGGGUAAUCGCCUUUGAUUAGACAAUGUUGUGCAAGGCUGCAAAUCAGGGCAACCUGGCAAACCGUGCGCAACCUUUAUCUUGACGAAUGAGAAACGUCAAAACAAAUAAAAACCAAAACAAAGUGAGCCGUUGCCGUCUGCAGUUCGGGAAUCUGGUUUUUCAGUUGUGGCAGAAUUGGGGUUCACUAAAAUGGCAACGAGUUCAAACCGGAAAGCUCGCUCCAAGCUGGCAGUCAGCGGCUGUGUUAACUCUGGAGAAUUUGGAAGCUGCUCAGUGAAGCCGAUAAAUUCUCCAAGUCCCGAAUUCUGAAUGGCAUCAGAGUCGCGGGUCGAAAUGAGCAGUUUGUUGCUGGCCGGUUACUCCACGGCAAUCGUUUCCACUUUCAUGUUGGUGCUGGAGGAGUUCACUUGUUACAGAUGGGCCACAGAGUGUAGAACCAUUGCUAGCUCACGAUGUGGCCAAUUUGUUCUUGGUUUGAAACACAAAACUUAGUUCCUGUUGAACAAGGAUCAGAUCAAAAUGACGAUUUUGGAUAAUUUUCGAAUGUUUUCGAGCACAGUUUGCAGAAGGUGCUGCACGCGUCAGCGAUUAAAGGCUUGGAACCACUUGAAUCAUACUUCGCCGAGUUGACGCGUCUCUGUAGCCGGGAUAGAUGUAGAAAACGAGUUUAGUUCAUGACCGGCGCAUCGUACUAUUGCUCGACACCCCGACGAAGAUUAUUAAGUACUCGUCGAGCAUAGUAUAAAAACUCCAACUGCUCACCUGCUGCUGAACAUCCUCACGGACAAGCCGGCCAGCGAAGUGCACGUUCUCGGGCUGGUACUGAUGCUGCUGUCAUUCUGCAUCGAGCAUCUCACCUACCACAUCAAGAAUUGCAUCAUCAACCAGAACCUGCUGUGGCGGAUACUAGUCCUGAUAAAAAGCACCCUCAUGUUCCUGGAUCACCGUACUCAAGGACGACUUUUACGUAAGGCAAAUCGUCAAAUCGCUGUACUCGUACUUUGACGAGAGCUUUGGCAAGUAGUUCGACGACGUCCAGUACGUGCAGAUGUUCAAGACACUUAAGAACUAGUACGUCCAGCAGGACGACCGGCUCGAGAAGACGGAAAAGGGCGGCGUUUCCCUGGAGAGCAGUCCUAUUUUGUGGAACAGUAGCCGGUACCGGCACGACCGGCGACAACUCGACGAGGAGGAAAACUUUGCCAACUUUAACUGCAACAGAUUUUGAUCUUGCAUGCAGUGGUUGCAGUGGUUUUCAUUAAAAUGUUUUUCUAUUCCAGGCCAACUUUUUGCGACAUGCUACGCAAAAUUGCUAAAUCCACAAUCACGGUGGCCUCUACCGGUGAGAGCAACGACACCUCGAUCUUAAUUAAAAUCAGUAUCAAUCUCGGUGCAAAAAGAGUGAGAGUAAAAUUUAAUUAGAAUACAUUUUCUAGUGUUAACAUCACCAAGAAGAUUCUGAAAGCAUCGUCUGAAGAAAAUAUCAAAUAAUUGAUAAAAAUAAAAUAACCUUUAACACCAAUUACCAAAUGCU